rnacentral:tmRNA from 1 species
CCCUUUGCAUUUUUAACCCAAAGCCCCUAUAUCCAUCGGGCCGGAGCAAUCCGGCUAUGAGGAUAAAUGGUGCCGUGAAAUAGACGUAAUGGACCCGGGGGCGGUACCCGGCGGCUCCACCACAAGCCCGCAAUUGGCGGGGUUCUGAUGGGGCCGAACUAGGAUCGACGUGCGUUGAAAGACGGUGGUUUCUUCCGGGCUGAGUAACCCGUUAAAGGCUCAAAACUCACAAGUGCCAAUGACAAUGAAGCACUCGCUCUGGCUGCCUAACCAAUAAAGCCGCAAGGCCCAAGGUUAAGCAAAGAGAGCGCGGUUCGGACCGAACCGGGCAACAGAAUCGGAUACC